AAGACGUUGGUGAUUUGCCGUUUUGGAUGACUUGCGGUUUAAUUUUGAAUGAGACAAAACGUCAGUUUGAUUAAUUUCUUUUUCUUUUGUCAUUCAAUUUUGGUAUAAAUUAUAAAUUCGAAGUGAAAUCUAAAUUAAAUGUUUUUAUCAAUUUGCGUAGUUUUGAUCAUUGCAACAUGCCUAUGUACUGUUUGCGAAAAAAUGUACCUUCUAGUGACGUAAAUACUUAAAACCAAUGAUUCUCUGGGAUUUUCUGAGUGCUUUUGGUCGACAAGUUACCAGCAUUCCCAAGUCGAUUCAAAAUCGAAAAACAGAGAAUCCAUACGUCAAAUAUUUACGAACAAAUAACUUAAAUAUGACCUAUGGGCAGCAAUUCAACAGCAGACGAAUGAAAAUAUUACGACAUAUCAGAGAUUUAAAGCAAUUUGCGAAAAAUUAUUGGUUUAUUGUGAUUCCACUGCAUGGCGUGCUCACUGUUGCUUAUGUGAGCUUAUUUUAUCUUACAUCAAGAAAAACGCUGAAUGCAUUAAAAUGGCUCAACAUAGAUAUGCACCAAUCUGAAGACGUCCAAAAAGCCCAGCUAAAAUACAUACCAAAAGUAUCCAAGAAAACAUUGGAAGAAAUCGCAAUAACUUUAAUUCUACUGAAACUAUCUGCUCCAAUCCGCAUUACAUCAACGAUAAUUGGUUCGAAAUACUUGGUCAAUUUUCUAAAACGUCAGCAGUUAAUUAAGUGUGUAAUGCUGCGCGAAAUCAAUAACAUCAACAAAACAAGUAAAGAAUAAAAGUUGCGCAUGCUGUAAAUGUUUCAGUAGUUAAACUUUUAAACGUAACGACUAAACAAUAAAUAAAUUUGUAAAACACGCA